rnacentral:ncRNA from 1 species
CUCGUUCAAGGCAAACCUGGCGAAAGCCAGGGGCGCAAAGCUACGGGCCUGUAGACGCUGUCAUGGCCGCCGGGCUGCCGGGG